GACUUAGUACUUUAAAAUAAAAGAUCUGAUUUGCAUUUAGAACAUAGACUUUUCAUGUCUCUAGGUCA
rnacentral:tRNA from 1 species